GCGAGGUACAGUGUUGUGUAUACGUAGUCUGAGCUACUGAGGAGGCUGAGGCAAGAGGACUGCUUGAGUCUAGGAGAUCUGAGCUAUAGUGCACUAUGCCGAUCAGGUGUCCGCACAAAGUUCAGCCAUCAAUAUGGUGACCUCCCAGAGCAGGGGACCUAAGGAGGGCUGCCUAAGAAGGGGUGAACUGGCCCAGGUCAGAAAUGGAGCAGGUCAAAACUCCCUUGCUGAUUAGUAGUGGGCUCACACCUGUGAAUAGUCACUGCGCUCCAGCCUGGGCAACAUAAUGAGACCCUAUCUCU
rnacentral:SRP_RNA from 1 species